rnacentral:rRNA from 1 species
UACAGAGGUGGCAAGCGUUGUUCGGAAUUACUGGGCGUAAAGCGCGUGUAGGCGGCCAGGUAAGUCCGUUCUGAAAGCCCGGGGCUCAACCCCGGGAGGCGGAUGGAUACUGCUUGGCUCGAGUCCGGAAGAGGCGAGUGGAAUUCCCGGUGUAGCGGUGAAAUGCGCAGAUAUCGGGAGGAACACCAAUGGCGAAGGCAGCUCGCUGGGACGGUACUGACGCUGAGACGCGAAAGCGUGGGGAGCAAACAGG